GAUGAACGCUGGCGGCGUGCCUAAUACAUGCGAGUCGAGCGAACAGACGAGGAGCUUGCUCCUCUGACGUUAGCGGCGGACGGGUGAGUAACACGUGGAUAGCCUACCUAUAAGACUGGGAUAACUUCGGGAAACCGGAGCUAAUACCGGAUAAUAUAUUGAACCGCAUGGUUCAAUAGUGAAAGACGGUUUUGCUGUCACUUAUAGAUGGAUCCGCGCCGCAUUAGCUAGUUGGUAAGGUAACGGCUUACCAAGGCAACGAUGCGUAGCCGACCUGAGAGGGUGAUCGGCCACACUGGAACUGAGACACGGUCCAGACUCCUACGGGAGGCAGCAGUAGGGAAUCUUCCGCAAUGGGCGAAAGCUUGACGGAGCAACGCCGCGUGAGUGAUGAAGGUCUUCGGAUCGUAAAACUCUGUUAUUAGGGAAGAACAAAUGUGUAAGUAACUAUGCACGUCUUGACGGUACCUAAUCAGAAAGCCACGGCUAACUACGUG
rnacentral:rRNA from 1 species